rnacentral:rRNA from 1 species
AUAUCAAUAAGCGGAGGAAAAGAAACUAACAAGGAUUCCCCUAGUAGCGGCGAGCGAAGCGGGAAGAGCUCAAAUUUGUAAUCUGGUACCUUCGGUGCCCGAGUUGUAAUCUCGAGAAGUGUUUUCCGUGCCAGACCGCAUACAAGUCUGUUGGAAUACAGCGUCAUAGUGGUGAGAACCCCGUAGAUGAUGCGGAUGCCUGGUGCUCUGUGAUACACUUUCGAAGAGUCGAGUUGUUUGGGAAUGCAGCUCAAAUUGGGUGGUAAAUUCCAUCUAAAGCUAAAUAUUGGCGAGAGACCGAUAGCGCACAAGUA